rnacentral:rRNA from 1 species
GUCUAUGAUCAUAACACACUGAAUGUGCCCAUUCUCAUCUGAUCUUGGAAGCUAAGCAGAGUUGUGCCUGGCCAGUACUUGGAUGGGAUAAAUGAGAAUUAUAACAA